rnacentral:rRNA from 1 species
CGCGUAGGUGACCUACCUCUUAGCGGGGAUAACACAGAGAAAUUUGUGCUAAUACCGCAUACGAAGCACGACAUUGGAAAAGUGCUUGAAAGGAUGCUCCGGCAUUCACUAAGAGAUGGGCCUGCGUAGCAUUAGCUAGUUGGUGGGGUAAAGGCUUACCAAGGCGACGAUGCUUAGCUGGUCUGAGAGGAUGAUCAGCCACACUGGAACUGAGACACGGUCCAGACUCCUACGGGAGGCAGCAGUGGGGAAUAUUGCGCAAUGGGGGAAACCCUGACGCAGCAAUGCCGCGUGAGUGAG